rnacentral:rRNA from 1 species
UAACGCGUGGGCAACCUGCCUUACACAGGGGGAUAACAGUUAGAAAUGACUGCUAAUACCGCAUAAGACCACAUUGCCGCAUGGCAGGGUGGUAAAAACUCCGGUGGUGUAAGAUGGGCCCGCGUCUGAUUAGGUAGUUGGCAGGGUAGAGGCCUACCAAGCCUACGAUCAGUAGCCGGCCUGAGAGGGUGGACGGCCACAUUGGGACUGAGACACGGCCCAAACUCCUACGGGAGGCAGCAGUGGGGAAUAUUGCACAAUGGGGGAAACCCUGAUGCAGCGACGCCGCGUGAGUGAAGAAGUACCUCGGUACGUAAAGCUCUAUCAGCAGGGAAGAAAGAAAUGACGGUACCUGAGUAAGAAGCCCCGGCUAACUACGUGCCAGCAGCCGCGGUAAUACGUAGGGGGCAAGCGUUAUCCGGAUUUACUGGGUGUAAAGGGAGCGUAGACGGCGAUGCAAGCCUGAAGUGAAAGCCCGGGGCUCAACCCCGGGACUGCUUUGGGAACUGUAUGGCUGGAGUGCAGGAGGGGUAGGCGGAAUUCCUAGUGUAGCGGUGAAAUGCGUAGAUAUUAGGAGGAACACCGGUGGCAAAGGCGGCCUACUGGACUGUAACUGACGUUGAGGCUCGAAAGCGUGGGGAGCAAACAGGAUUAGAUACCCUGGUAGU